CUGAUGCAGCAACGCCGCGUGAGGGAUGACGGCCUUCGGGUUGUAAACCUCUUUUAGUAGGGAAGAAGCGAAAGUGACGGUACCUGCAGAAAAAGCACCGGCUAACUACGUGCCAGCAGCCGCGGUAAUACGUAGGGUGCAAGCGUUGUCCGGAAUUAUUGGGCGUAAAGAGCUCGUAGGCGGUUUGUCGCGUCUGCUGUGAAAUCCCGAGGCUCAACCUCGGGCUUGCAGUGGGUACGGGCAGACUAGAGUGCGGUAGGGGAGAUUGGAAUUCCUGGUGUAGCGGUGGAAUGCGCAGAUAUCAGGAGGAACACCGAUGGCGAAGGCAGAUCUCUGGGCCGUAACUGACGCUGAGGAGCGAAAGCGUGGGGAGCGAACAGGAUUAGAUACCCUGGUAGUCCACGCCGUAAACGUUGGGCGCUAGAUGUAGGGACCUUUCCACGGUUUCUGUGUCGUAGCUAACGCAUUAAGCGCCCCGCCUGGGGAGUACGGCCGCAAGGCUAAAACUCAAAGGAAUUGACGGGGGCCCGCACAAGCGGCGGAGCAUGCGGAUUAAUUCGAUGCAACGCGAAGAACCUUACCAAGGCUUGACAUACACCGGAAACGGCCAGAGAUGGUUGCCCCCUUGUGGUCGGUGUACAGGUGGUGCAUGGUUGUCGUCAGCUCGUGUCGUGAGAUGUUGGGUUAAGUCCCGCAACGAGCGCAACCCUCGUUCUAUGUUGCCAGCGCGUUAUGGCGGGGACUCAUAGGAGACUGCCGGGGUCAACUC
rnacentral:rRNA from 1 species